rnacentral:rRNA from 1 species
GUUGUUUAGUUGAAAAUCAAUUCAAUAAUUUUUGAUUUUAAGUAGUAUUGACUUCAUCAGCUUGCUGCUUUCUUUUCGGAAAUUAUUGAAUGCACUUUUCAGUUAACAAGUCAACAUCAAUUUCUUUUGUUGUAAAAGGGUAAGAGGAAGGUGGCUUACGCUUCGGCGUAAGUGUUUAUAGCCUUUUACCUCUGCAAUCGGAGAGAUUGAGGACAGCAGCGUAGACUCUUCGGGGUUAGAUACACUUGUGCUAAGCUAUAGCCUUGUAUAGACAACUUGUUGACUAUGCUCAGUCAUGUAGCUUACUCGCUUGUGCUAUUUUACCUAC